rnacentral:rRNA from 1 species
GAUGAACGCUGGCGGCGUGCUUAACACAUGCAAGUCGAACGGAAAGGCUCCUGCUUGCAGGGGUACUCGAGUGGCGAACGGGUGAGUAACACGUGGGUGAUCUGCCCUGCACUUCGGGAUAAGCCUGGGAAACUGGGUCUAAUACCGGAUAGGACGAUGGUUUGGAUGCCAUUGUGGAAAGUUUUUCGGUGUGGGAUGAGCUCGCGGCCUAUCAGCUUGUUGGUGGGGUAAUGGCCUACCAAGGCGUCGACGGGUAGCCGGCCUGAGAGGGUGUACGGCCACAUUGGGACUGAGAUACGGCCCAGACUCCUACGGGAGGCAGCAGUGGGGAAUAUUGCACAAUGGGCGCAAGCCUGAUGCAGCGACGCCGCGUGGGGGAUGACGGCCUUCGGGUUGUAAACUCCUUUCGCUAGGGACGAAGCGCAAGUGACGGUACCUGGAGAAGAAGCACCGGCUAACUACGUA